rnacentral:rRNA from 1 species
AGUUUGAUCCUGGCUCAGGACGAACGCUGGCGGCGUGCCUAAUACAUGCAAGUCGAGCGAACAGAAGGGAGCUUGCUCCCGGAUGUUAGCGGCGGACGGGUGAGUAACACGUGGGUAACCUGCCUGUAAGACUGGGAUAACUCCGGGAAACCGGAGCUAAUACCGGAUAGUUCCUUGAACCGCAUGGUUCAAGGAUGAAAGACGGUUUCGGCUGUCACUUACAGAUGGACCCGCGGCGCAUUAGCUAGUUGGUGGGGUAAUGGCUCACCAAGGCGACGAUGCGUAGCCGACCUGAGAGGGUGAUCGGCCACACUGGGACUGAGACACGGCCCAGACUCCUACGGGAGGCAGCAGUAGGGAAUCUUCCGCAAUGGACGAAAGUCUGACGGAGCAACGCCGCGUGAGUGAUGAAGGUUUUCGGAUCGUAAAGCUCUGUUGUUAGGGAAGAACAAGUGCGAGAGUAACUGCUCGCACCUUGACGGUACCUAACCAGAAAGCCAC